ACCUCCUGUUCUAGUGCACAAUUCCUUUAUAAAUAAAUGCACUUCAGACUUCGACCUCGCUUCACCGCUCUACCAUAAAACAAAAAAGAGAGAUAGAAGAGGAGGAUGGAGAAGAUGAAGAAUCUCAUGGCCGUCGUUUCUUCUUCCUCUCCCUCUCCGCUGUCGCUGCUGUCUUCGUUCUCAAGUUUGAGAGUGAACGGGCAGGCGGUGGCAACACGCCCCGGCAGCUAUGUCAGUGGGUUUAGUUUGUGAUGAGGAGGCACCCACUGUCCCUCCUUCCUCCUCCCGCCCCUUCGACGACGACGACAACUACCAACCCUACAACUCCUACUCCUAUUUUGUCGACUGUAGAAGGCAACUUCACUUUCCUGCCAUCGCCCUCUUCAUUCUUCUUUUCUGAGACUGAAACUUCCACGUGAGGAAUCCGGACCAACUAGGCAUUGUGUAUAAUGUCCUAAAAAGAGUGGACCAGAGUUUUUGGGCUUGCUAGUUGCAGAUCCAUGACCAUGGAGGAGAUCAAGGAGCCGCUGAUGGGGGACGAGGAGAUGCCUCCUUUGCUGGAAGACCAAGAGACUGACACCAAGCUUCACUGCAUUGCUCUCUUUGUUGAGCCCUCUCCCUUCAUGUUAAUAAUGUAGCGUUUGGUUACAUUAAACCAGUUUUAGAGGUGACUCAAGAGGAAUACAAGCACAUCAUGAACACCAACUUGGAAGCUGAUUUCCAUUUGAGUCAACUUGCUCAUACUCUUCUUAAGGCAUCUGGACAGGGCAAUAUCAUCUUCAUUUCCUUGAUUGCGGGUCUCGAAGGAUACUCUUCUUUGUAUGUCUAUGGAUCAUCUAAGGCUACUCUAAAGCAGUUACAAAAGCUUUCUCCAGAAUUUCAUUGUGUAAGUUGAGGACCUAUUGGAUGCAAACAUAUGCAGGGAUGGAAGGACUUUUUAACAGAUCAGCUGCUCCAUCCUUUAAAUUUUAGGUUGGGAAAUAUGAAACUGCUUUGCUAUGUCUGGGCUCGCGCAUAGUCCCAUCCUUUGAAAGCUUUGGAGGCUUACUUUGGCCUUUUUGAUGACCAUGGAGGUAAGGGAGCUAUUGAAUUUGCUUCAAAAAAGAUGGGAGAGUAUAUUGUAGGCGAAGUGUUGUCGAGCAACAGAGAAGGCUUCAACGAUGUAGAUUGAGCUAUUUGGGAUGGAGACUUGAAAAUUGAUUCAGAGUUCCUAAAGGAAGGAAUGGAUGGAGGGGCUUCUUAUGUCAUUGCCUUACUUAGAGGUGCCAUUCUGGUAGUGUCUAAUGCUGGUGAUUGUCGUGCUGUAUUGUGCCACUCUGGUAAAGUAGAGGCCCUUACAUUUGAUCACUGCCCUUCUCGUGAAGAUGAAAGGCAACAAAUUGCAAGCACCAUAAGUAUAAUCUAUAAAAUUUUGUCUAGAUUUGUUCUUCUAGUUGUUUCACAAUAUCUUUAGAAAAUACUUUUGAAGUAAUUACUCAAAAGUAAUAUUACAUUAGCUCAGAUUAGGAACUCUAUUCCAAAUAACAUUAUUAUAAUAACAAUCUGAAUUCAAAAAUAAGGGACUUAUGUAUAUGGUGUACUUGUAUUUAUUUUAUUAUCUAUAGUUGAAUUUCAAUUCUUUC